rnacentral:rRNA from 1 species
UACAGAGGUGGCAAGCGUUGUUCGGAAUUACUGGGCGUAAAGGGCUCGUAGGCGGCCAACUAAGUCGGAUGUGAAAUCCCCAGGCUCAACCUGGGAACUGCAUCCGAUACUGGAUGGCUUGAAUUCGGGAGAGGGAUGCAGAAUUCCAGGUGUAGCGGUGAAAUGCGUAGAUAUCUGGAGGAAUACCGGUGGCGAAGGCGGCAUCCUGGACCGACAUUGACGCUGAGGAGCGAAAGCCAGGGGAGCAAACGGG